UUAUAUGUCAUCCAUAAGCUGAAAUCAUUGCGCUUGCUAGACUGUCAGUAUGUUGUUGUCAUUUACUUGUUAGUUUUGAUUAACUUUCUUAGGCAUGUUAAGGCUUAAUUUUUUGAAACCAAGCCUCUGUUUGUUAUGUGACAUGAUUAACUUUCAACUGUAACAAUGUUCCUAUUCUUGAAUUUUGCAAAUGAGAAAUUGUUAUCCUUCUGCCUUUUCAAAAAGCAUUGGGUUGAAGGUUUGGAGCCUAACCUUAGGGGGGGAGAAAGGAGAAAAAGUGAAAGCAGGUGCAGAAGUUUUGCAUAUCAUGUUAUUUUUUGGUUAAAUGCUCCUUGACUUCAGUGGCUUCUAUUAAAAAUACACAUCGAUAGGAAUAUGCUAAUAUCUAAUUUGUUGUAUAUGAAUUUAAGUCUAAAAUUUUUCUUUUUUCUCCCUUAUAGAAAUGUUAUUAACUACAAACUAAUUACUUUGUAUUUUCUAAUAUUUAUUGGAAUUUUUCUUCUAAAAGAUUUGGAUUUACAUGCUGUUUUACCUAACUGAUACUAAAUUGACAUGCUGUUUUGGAGUGUGGCCUUGAGGUUGGUGAUAUUGUUGUCUAUUGCUGUGGAUUGGCCUCGAGUUCUCUGGGCUUAUAAGAAGGCUGCCCUGUUGCUGGGUGGGCUCUGAGUUAUCACUUUUAGUUGCUGCUAAAUGGAGCAAGGAUCAUGACAUGGCAGCAGGUUCAAUAUUGCAUUAGGAAUAGGAGCUGAGCUAUGCAUAUGUCAGUUUGUUUAAUUAGAUGUAUUCUUCAUAUGGAAGCAGUGUUCACUGGAAUCUGUGUCAAUGGCUGAGGGUGGUCUGAGCAUGGUUGCUGCUGUGAUGGUCUCUGGUGUGCUAUGUUGUUGGCAUCUCAUUCUCGUGUAUAUGCUAGUUGUUCAGUCACAGUGUGAUGAGAUAUGCUUGCUGCUUGGAUUGGAUGUCUACGUUUUUCAGAUUCUUCUCUAUUGUCAUGGUUAACAACUCCAGAGUGCAGUGUAGUGGAUUGGGGUUUUUCUUGAUAGGAGGGUUUUGUUCUACAUUCUUCCAAUUUUCUCAUUUGUUUUACUUUACUCCAAUCUUCCACAUAAGGUACUGCUUAUGAAACUUGAAAUUCAAUUUACUUAAGGUCAACUUUUUGCACAAAUUCUAUCAUAGUUGUCAGUGCUGCAGUAGAUCCGCUUUAUUAUUAGUUUUGUUCCAUUGUUUAUCAGCGGCAAUUGCAGCUAGCAGAAUGUACAUCUCUUUUCUUUUGUUUAAUUAAUACCUCAAUUAAUUUAUAGGAAUACAGAGUUAUUUUUAUCUUCUUGUAGUUGUUUUAAAUGAUAUAUUGAAGAGUAGUUUUAUAUUUGACCAAUAGAGGACUUUGCUUUCUAAAAGCAUGUUAGACUUUCAAUUUACUAUUUGGGCGCAUAGCACUAAGUGUUGCUUUCUUAAAACUGGGCUCUUAAAACUGUUUUCUGUGGUUAUAAUUACUUAUUUUUUAUACUUAGAUAUGAUAAUGGGCUUUUAAUGAAGCAAAGAGACAUAUUUCACUGGUAACUAUGUUACCUUCCUAGAUGGUGUUGUAUGAUGCUCUUAAUUAUGCAAUGUGUGAGGCUUAUCAGUAGGAUGCUACAAUAAUAUGGUAACCCAGGUUAAUAAAUUUUUCAAGCUAAAGAUACUACUAUUACCCCCAACAUUUUGCAAGCUUACUAGUCAUCCUCUUCUUAAGCUAUGUAGUUAGUGUCUUCAACCCUAAGCAACUGUUUCGGGUCAGUGUUGUCCUGAAUCAAUUAGUAAAUUACCCAUGGC